rnacentral:rRNA from 1 species
ACGGGCGGUGUGUGCCAGCAGCCGCGGUAAUUCCAACUCCAAUAGCGUAUAUUAAAGUUGUUGCAGUUAAAAAGCUCGUAGUUGAACCUUGGGCCUGGCUGGCCGGUCCGCCUCACCGCGUGUACUGGUCCGGCCGGGCCUUUCCUUCUGGGGAACCUCAUGCCCUUCACUGGGCGUGUUGGGGAACCAGGACUUUUACUUUGAAAAAAUUAGAGUGUUCAAAGCAGGCCUUUGCUCGAAUACAUUAGCAUGGAAUAAUAGAAUAGGACGUGUGGUUCUAUUUUGUUGGUUUCUAGGACCGCCGUAAUGAUUAAUAGGGAUAGUCGGGGGCAUCAGUAUUCAAUCGUCAGAGGUGAAAUUCUUGGAUUGAUUGAAGACUAACUACUGCGAAAGCAUUUGCCAAGGAUGUUUUCAUUAAUCAGUGAACGAAAGUUAGGGGAUCGAAGACGAUCAGAUACCGUCGUAGUCUUAACCAUAAACUAUGCCGACUAGGGAUCGGACGGUGUUAGUAUUUUGACCCGUUCGGCACCUUACGAGAAAUC